rnacentral:lncRNA from 1 species
GUAUUCAGGUCUACAAUUUCAGGUACAAAUUUUAUGCAUACCUUUCUUCUGCAAGUGAGAAGCAUCUCAUGGUCAUUUUCACCUUCUAUAGGUGUUUUACUUAUGGACACAUAAUAACUAAGUUUAUGGGCUUUCAGAAACAUGAAGGCCAAGAUAAGAAAUGUAACUUCCCAUGGAGACAUCAUGCUGAAGACAAAAGUUCCAAGGAUAAAAAUUGAUUCACUUAUUAUACACUAUGUUUCAUAAUUUUGUGAAUUUCUGGUUUCUCCACAGGACUGGAACAUCAUAUUUUAGGAACGGUAUCUGUUUUUGUUCACUAAAUCUCUAAAGCCUACCACAUUAAAACUUGUUGCAAAUACAGAAUGAACUUACAAAAUGCAUUUAAAAAUCCUUUAAAUAAAUAAAUUAUGAAAUAAAAAUACUAAUAAAUCAAUGGAACAUCUAGAAAGUCAUGACAUCUGAAAGCAGGAAAAUAGUAGUGAAAUGACAACAUUUUACUGGAUAAAGAGCAACUCUCCUUUAUUGUGCAUUUCCCUUUUGUACAUACUCUUCAUUUAUUUCACUUAGUAUAUUUAGGGUUAAUUAAUGCUACAAUUUUGACUCAUGGUUUUCUUACUUUGUAAUUCUAUAAAUUUUCUGGAGCGUUAUUGUGGGAUUUAGUUAAGCAAUAGAAAACAGUUUGGUACUUGUUAGGUUUCAUAUCAAGAUUUGUUUGAAAAUAUCAGAAAUGUUUAGUAUAGGUGUCAUUAUAUUUUUAUUGAAGCAAAAUUUCCUGGGUACUCCAGUUGAUGUCCUGUGAACUGUAGGUGCUUCCAUUCCAGAUGAUGGGAAUCAGCAUUACCACCAGUCUCUGUGAGCACUGGGCAGUUUUGUGCAUUUUCUUCACACAGGUUUGCUAAGGGGUGCUCUGCUGAAUACUCAAGGAUGGCCUUCAGCUGAUACCUGUAGCUGUCUCUCUGUCAUUUUUUUUCCCCUGUCAAAUGCUUUGUUCUUUGGAUUUAGCCACUUUCCAAUCUCCAGACUCAUAGUUCUAUCUCCUCCACACAAGGAGACCAUUGGGAUCCAUCUGGGCUUUUUCCAAUCAGGUUUUGGCCUGGAAACUAUCUCUAAAUGCUAAGCAAUAAACUGGGUUAAUUAAACUAACACUUUACCUGACAGUUCUAACAAGUCUCAUUGUGACUUUUUUUUUUUUAACUUAAGUCUGAGGUAGCAUUCACUUCUUAUUUUAUUUUAUGUUUUUUGGUACCAGGAAUUGAAUUUACAGGCACUCAAUCACUGUGCCACAUCCCCACCCCUAUUUUGCAUUUUAUUGAAAGAUAGGGUCUCACUGCAUUGCUUAGCGCCUCACUUUUGCUGAGGCUUGCUUUGAACUUGUGAUCCUCCUGCUUCAGCUUCCCAAGCCGCUGGAUCACAGGCUUAUGCGCAGCAUUCACUUUCAUUGCCUAAUGUACCAUAUCUGAAACACUAUUGUCUUAUAAGUUUUGUUCAUUUUCUUUCUUGUCUCUGAACCAAAUAAAUCAGUUGUUGAUACUUCAUCUUGAUUAGAGGAAGAAGCCUCUCAGGAGAAUUCAUUUGGAACCAGAGAACAAAAGUCCUUUUUUUUCUUUUACUUUAUUUAGUUUUUAAAUCUUGUCCUAAUCAUUUUUUAAAAGCAGUAAACUCUUGCUGAAAAAUAAAGGAGAGUAUAUGAAUGAGAAAAAAAAAGAAUGCUUCAUAAUUCAACAACAAAAACAGCAAAUUUGAAUCUGACACACUGGUGAGUUAGGGCUAUGUUGAAGGAUUAAUCUCUGAUAUCCAGAAAGUUUC